AUAAAAUUCAGUGUCACGGUGGAACUACUAUAUUUCCACAGUUGACAACUCUAAUCACAAAUACUCUUGGUUGUGCUCAAUCCAACUAAUACUCUCACCGGCAAAGCACGUCAUCAUCGUUUCUCUGGAAAAAUCGCACGAUAGUGUACAAUGGAUUUAGAUGAGUACGAAUAUAUCGAGAAAACCUUGAUAAACAUCACACCCAAAUCCAAUUGGAAAGAUAACCCACCCCGUUUCCCCAUCAAAAAUGCAAAUCGGGAUUUUCCAGGAAAAGGGUAUGUUUAUAUUACUUAAUUACAUAGAAAUGUGAUUAUAAGGUGACAUUAUAUGUUUAUAUUGACAGAUAUGUUUUGCAUUUCUGAAAAGAUGAAACAUGUUCAAUAAAUUCAUACAAUAACAGAAAAGUUCGCAUAAUUUUUGUCUAUGUUUUAUUGAGGAAAAAUUAGCUAUUUAUGCAGUUUUGUGCAUCCUUUUCUCUCCUCAAUAUAUAUAAAGAUUCUGAAGAUGUAUAUACCUCAAAUGGGUCAAGAUUUUCUAGAGCUUUGAUUAUCAGAUUUCAGCCUUUGCUUGCAGAGAAUUGCUUAGAGGACCUCUAUAUGAUGGUUUAGUCUUAAUUUUGAGUGCAUUUCACUUUUGGUGUGAAUCACCGGUUGGAGUAAAUUCAUUAGCAAUGAUGGAUGGUGGUGAUGGUAAGAGCUAACUUUUGUAUCUCACUAAGUCUAAGAUUGCUUCGUUCGAUUGUCACUGUGAAAGCAGUAAAACUUUUGUAUGGUAUUUUCUACUCAAUCCAUUCCAAAUUUUCUUGGAUUUUUCUUUGCUACAAAAUCCAUAACAAAAACAAUAAAAGAUUCAAUUAACAUUCUUCAACUUUGUCUAUAUAUAAAAGGGUAAACUUGCAUUGUUCAAAAUUUGAUUCAACAUAUAGUCACAGGUUCUCUUUCUUUUCCUUAUCUCAUUUUCCAAUCUCUUCUUCCUGUUAUCUUCCUUCUUUUCCUGACCGUGACGGAGUUCUAUUGCAUCUCAAAAAUGGCAGCAAUGUGUGCCUCUGUUUGUGCUGGAGUUUUUUGUAAUUACAGAUAUUUCUGCUG